UUCACCUGGCAACCAGUCCUGUAAACUGUACCAUAUACUAAGUGUGAAGCACAGAGACAAGGACCCAGAAGGAUGAUACAUCAAUGCAAGGACAGCCAGAAGCAUGUGUGACCAGAUGCCAUUUACCUAGGCCAGCUUCUGUGGUCAUCAGGCAGGCAUCUCAACGCCACCCCACCCUCUCCUCUGUGACCCUUGAGGCUCACGCACCAGUCCGGAACUUUGCUGUUUCCACAGGUAAUCACCGGCUUCGUUUUGUUUGCUUGCGAACUGAAUUUAAGAAUUCUGCCUUCCUCCCCUCCGUACCAUACCCUGGGCUUGCUACUGAACACUUCCCUGUAGGAGCCCUGGUCCUAAUCCGGCCAACAAGGGGUAGGAUAGGGAGGCAAAAACCUGUCAAGCGUAGCCAAUCCUCGUUUCUCCACCAGUUCCUCAGCAGGCACAGGUGUAUCUGUGCCAAAAGGGUGGGGCAAGAGGAGGUCUGAGGUUCAGAGAGACAUCUAAGGAGACUUUGGCCAGGGUGACACAGGAAAUUAACCUGGCAGUUCCCAGGAAAUGCUAAAGUAGUUGGCAGGGUGGGUAAGCCUUAAUAGGACAGUGGGGCAGUCUAGACUCUGGAAGGGCUUGGCUUCAGGAAAGAAUGAGAUUGUUUUGUUUCUCUGGGGCUCAAGCACUAGGCUUUAUGAAUGUAGCUUCAUGACAAAACUGCACCCCCAACAGCAGCACCCCCACCCUUCUAUCCCUUUAAAGUUACUUUAUUAAAUCAUAAAUGUGAAUUUACAAUUUUUAUUAGCUUACAAAAAAAUUAGAUUUCAUUUUGGUAGUUUUCAAACAAAAUGUGUUUUAGUUGUCCCUCCUAUCCCCAUACUUAAAAAUUAACAAAAAAGUCAUGUCAUUACACCAUAAUCCUUGGUAAUUCCUUUUCAAAAACUACAAGAGAAAAAUCUUCUAAAGGCCCGUGACAUCUCAUAACUAACUCUCUAGGAUAAAAGAAAUACUUCCAGACACAGAGGUGCUGGGGGCAUUUGUGUCUCCAGGAUCCCAGACCCUGUGGCCAUCCUUGGUGUCCUGACUAUAAGGAUCACAGUCAGGGCUGGGCAUGAUUGUGGACACCUUUAGUCCCAACACUCAGGAAGAGUCAGUGAAUCUCUGUGAGUUUGAAGCCAGCCUGGUCUACAUAGGGAGUUCUAGGACAGCCAGAAAUAGAGAAAUCCUGCCUCAAAAAAGGUGGGGCAGGGCUGGAGAAAUAAGUCAGUGGUUAAGAGGACUGGCUGCUUUUCCAGAGGACACAGGUUUAAUUCCUAGCCCCACAAGGAAGCUCACAGUUGUUCCUAACUCCAAUUUCAAAUGAUCCAAAACUCUUACACAGAUAUACAUACAGGCGAAACACAGUGCACAUGAAAUAGAAAUAAAUGAAUUGGAGAAAAAAAAAGAAAAGAAAAAGAAGGGGCUGGGGAUUUAGCUCAGUGGUAGAGCGCUUACCUAGGAAGCGCAAGGCCCUGGGUUCGGUCCCCAGCUCCGAAAAAAAGAACCAAAAAAAAAAAAAAAAAAAAAAGAAAAAGAAACAUGGCCCCAGGUGAGCUAUAGUUCAGGGGUGGAACACUCAUCCAGUUUACGGAGGUGCUGGGUUCCAGUCACAGCACACCCCAGGAUAAAAAUGAUAGUGGCAUUUUGUUUUGCUUUUGCUUUUAAUGACAACAUGACAGAGUUGGAUGUCAAAUGAACUUGACUUUGAAACCUAGUCCUACAACUUGGAUCUUAAUUGACAUAGGUUAGUUAUUAAAUCCUUUAACCUUUGUAUUUAAUAUGAGGAUUGAGUAUGUUAACCCUACAAGAUUCUAAAGAUCAAAAGAGAAAACACAAAAAGGAUUUAUCAACAUUUGAUGACACACCUUGUAUUAACCAGUCAUUGUGAUCCUUGAUCAGUUAUUGUGACUCCUUAUUUUCCUAUUUGCAUAUAUGCAUGCAUAUACACAUACGUGCGCACAAACACAUACGCCUAGCAUCUAUACAAACACACGCUGCCCCCUAAUUAGAAAUAGGAAGUGAAAGUAAGAUGUUGGUGAGAAACCUGUAAGUUCUUUUGCUACUUCCUGGGUGCUGAGGAGCUCCUGGAUAUCCCUGCGCCUGACGAAUGCACCCUUCUCAAGCAAGAAGUCAGGAAAGGGAAGAAGAGACUCACCAGACCUGGGAGAGGCUCCGAGGGUGGGAAACCUGUUCUUGCCCUCAGCUGGUGACUUCAAUAUGGGCACAAGUCCUGCGUCAGGCAGCCCCUCUAAAGGUCUCUCCGGGCACCUUGGUGGGGGUGCCUCUCUCUUGGUCCCUCUACAGGAACUGUGUUCAUGGUCCAGAAGUUUGCAUAGGGGCCAGGGGGCACUCAUUCCAAUCCUGACCAGCUGCCUCUUCAACUGCUUAAGCCCUUCCCUUCCCCACCCUACUUCAAACACCUUAGACCGUUCUGUGGCCAGUCCUUUAACCCUUCUGGUGCCACCACCCUGCUCUAAGUGUUCUCUGAACAAAAGGUUGCCACAGGACUCAGUCUCCCGUGGAAACAGGUGUGGGACUCUAGGCUGCGGUCCCCCUGAGGGGAGAAGAUGUGGGACCCUGACAACUAGGGAACUUUUAGCUUCCCUCUGGCAGGGAACAGGGAGAUGCUGUGGAGGGGAAAGGGGAACACCAUCCCAGGGCAGGGAUCACAGUUGGAGGCCUACUUAACAGCAAGGUCUCCCCCAAGUCAGCAGGGUCCUCCUUCCUCUCUCAUAGUAGGCUUAACAACCAUGCUUUGGUCCCUUUAAGAGGCAGGUUACAGUAGCGAGUGGGAGGAGAGGUUGUAUUUAUUUGUGAUACAAGUACAUGAGGAGGGCCCUCGCUCUGACAGCAACAGGGCGACCAGCAACUCAGCCAGCACGCCAACGCGUGGCAUGCCUUGUUUUGGAUACCAGGCAGCAGAAUAUUUGACCAGCUCCUCCACCCUUUCCUUGGUAACAACUAAGGGGGUGUGGACUCAACCUCUUCCUCCAGGGCAGAGGGCAGCUUGGCACAGCUUGGACUUCCUGAGGUAACAGGGAGAGGCCUUUCUUCAGGAUCCUGUGGCUACUGGAAAGUGCUCAUUGAGAGGUUCGCUGUCUCUGACAAAUAAUGGUUUACGGUGCCUUGGACAAGUUACUAAUUUGUAAAGUGGAGCAGCAAACGGGAAGUAUGGAUUUGUAGACGUCACUUAGUAAAUGCAUUGUGGGUCCGUGUGGUGGCACACAGCACUCUGGGACAGGACCAACUUGGCCUAUCUAGUGAGGUCAGACUAGUCUUAUUUAUACAGAGACAAGCCUUGAGACUCUUGUCACAAAAACAAUAAAUAAAAAUAAAUUGAC